UCUACUCAAAGGUUGACAUUUCUAAGCACUCUCAAAUCCUCAGACUUAGCGUGAGUUACGAGCGCAUGACCAGAAGGAUUCGGCUGCAGCAGCUUAAGGCUCGAGGCACAGCAGCGUUAUGUGAUUGAACUCCAGCUACAGGCUCCAGCGUGUUUCAUGCUAAUGUUUCAUGCUAAUGUCAUUUAGUCCACAACUGGGGCGCGUUAAGAGCGCACACGCAGUUGGUAACGGCUUCAGCUGAUGAGCGGUGACGUCUUUGGUCACAUCCAUUACAUCAUUUUCAUUUACGUGUCCACAAUAUUUCAACAAGAGCAAGUGACAGCCUAGACGAUGAAUGCUGAAGUGCUCAAUUUGCCAUAUCCAGAUUUGGUGACAGGAGGGUUAAAAGGUGCCUUUCUAUGGAGUCCAUUGGUGACAGAAACUUUCACGCUACAAUCACAGCAAAGACUUUCCCGAAUCCAGCGGGAAGCAGGUACUUCAUCCUCUAAACAGGAGCCAAAGGCUGGAAGUCUGAACUACAUCAAGCUUUUGCAUACCUACAGAAGACAGCAUGCCUUUAUUUCAGGAGAGAACUGAAAUCAAUCUUUUGACUGGACAAGCAGUAUUCAGGAUGGCCCAGCACCUCUCAGACCUUCCAACAGAUAACUGCCUUUUUUUUUUUUUUUUUAAAUGGCUAUGCAUAUAGCCAAAUAAAAGCAAUGAUUACUAGACCAUGGCUCAUAGGAAUGAGCGCCCAUGCAGCCUGCAGCCAUGACUGAGGGCCACAAGGAACCACCACCACUUGGUAUAAAACGGCAGGGAAAAUAAUGCGUGGUAUGCUCACAGCACAUAUGCUCACUUUAGACUUGUGGCCUAUAAAUUUGCAAAGAUUCUGCGCUACUGUCCUACAUGUUUUCAGUGUUCAUACAGAUGAUUAUUAUCAGUCAUGUAAGGUUCCUGACCUCAAAAUCUCUUGGUCACAAACUCCUUGGGUUCAUGAUGUGCUGCACUGCAAAAGUAUCCCAUUUUUUCAAGAUGUUGCUUUUAAGUAUCGUAUUUAUAAGAGGUAUCAGCCUCUGGUGGUUGUUUUUUUUUUCCUAGCUCUUUAACUGUGCAUUUUUGACUGUCACUAUAUGCUGCUCGUGUACUUUCAUCAAGUAGCUUUCAAAUUUACCCACAUCUUUUUCUGAGGCUCUCUCCUUUCAAGUUAAACUAUGAAACUUAGUUGAAAACAGUUUGUUUAAAGGAUUGGUAUGUUAAAAACCAUAAUAACUAGCAGGUAAAAGUAGUAUCAUGUUAAAAAUCCACAUCACAAACCAUGGAACAGACAAAGAGAAAUAAUAAGAUUAAAGAGUAUUAAAAAGUUGCCAUCUGUCUUCAAAGAUUAAAACUUUCCAUAAACUCCCCUUUUUCUCCUCAGCCAAGCUCUUCCAAUAAACCCAUGUUUGAGGUACUGGAGAAAACUGGCUUCUACGCACGAUUUAAAUAUGAACACACACCACACCCCCAAGCCCCAAGAAAUGAUACAACUUACUGUAUGGAAAUUACUGAUCAAAAGAAGUAUUUUAUCUUAAAAUACUUCAUACAAGCACAGCAAAUUUGUUAGCUUUUGGAAAUUGUUUAUAAUAUUCAUGCAACAACUACUGUGCAUAUUUAUGAAAUGGUGGCCAAGGAGUCAAUACAGCGAUUAAGAUUAUGGCCAUCAUCUCCUGUUCAAUCCUCAAUGAUUUAGAAAACCUGCCACCUGGAGUUUGGAUUCUAAAAUGAUGGUAAAGUACCUAAUAUUUCAUAAACAGAUUAAGUUAGUAAAUUUGUGACUGGAAAAAGAAGCAAGCUAUUGUAAGUGCCAAACUGUAAUUCAUAAGUAAGUGUUGUACAGCCUAAAUUACAACAUUGCUGAAACCAAGAGAAAACAUACAUCUGGGAUUUUCAAAUUCCUCCAAGUGGCUUACAAGCAUGUAUUUCACAGAAAAUUAGGGAUUUGGGUGUUCCUAAAUCAAAGCAGCAUUUCAUCAAAAUGCCUACUAGGAAUUGUCAUUUAAGAAGAACAUGGCUGGACUAAAGAAAAUUUGUGAAGGAAGAAUGUUUCAGCUAUUGAUAUGCUUAUCCCUGAAAAAUAUUUGCAAACAAAGUAUGCAGAGUGCAAUUCGAAUUCAUGUUUUCUUCAUUUUACUGAAAAACUACAACUGAAACCUGUCAUUCUUGCAGGCAGCACCAAUAAGCUUGAAGAGGCCAAUGGCAGAAAACACUUGACGAAAGGGAAGUUCUUGGUGAAACUAGUGAUAUGGAGAAAUAAGUGUUACAUGGUUGGGAUGAGACAUCAGCGACACUCACAGUACAUCAAGAAAAACUAAUUUUAAAAGUGACAUAUAAAGGCGAAAAGUCAAAAGGGUGAAAAAGAUUGGAAACCACAGAAAUUCCACAUUUUGUUACAAUCUUCAUAGACUUACAAAGACACCAAGUCAUAAAAGCGUAUGACAAAAUUUGGAAGUUUUAUGAAGUAGAGAUUUGGGCACAAAUGCAUUUUCAACUGAAGGCAGGGCUGUUUAGCAGCACAGAUGGGCCACUGCCAUGUAGUGCGGGUAGAUGGACCUUGCCAGACAGUGCUAAGGAAAGCAGCUGCCAGUCCCUCCCUGCCUGCCACCUGUAUAUAUAGGGCACAUCUGCUCCACAAUAGCCAUAGGAGAACUAAGGUACCCAAUUAAGAACAGCUAAAAGGCUUCUCAGAGUUCUCAAAAUAUGAAAAUCUGUAUUUGUUACUGAUCUUACUACUUAUGUAGGAAUGUACUUUAAAACGGACAAUGGCUGAGUAUUGAAAUGACAGCAUCUAUCUUGCCUUCAAAAGAGUUUGACAGUUUGGACUGAACUCUCAGUAUUUCACUAUUUACCAUUUGGCUCCCCCUCAGCUUUUUUAGGGGAAACAAAUGUGUUUAGCCUGGAAAAAUAUUUAGGGUGGUUUUAAACUGGUGUUAGCAAAUCAAGAUUAUCCAGUGGCUUGGGCACUGGUCUAAGGCUUGGGAGACUGCAUAUAAUUUUGUACUCAGCCCAAAACUAGUCCUCUGAGUAACACUCCCCACCUGUAAAAACAGGAAAUACUGAUACCUGUCUACUGUGAAAAGAAAUUGGAAUCUUGUGAUGAAAAGCAUUAUAGAAGAGUCAAAUAUUACUACUAGUGUAAAUGUAUUGGCAAUCAAUUAGGUGAUGAUAACCAAAUGACUUAUGAGCAGUGAAAGAAAUGAAGUGUAGCUUCCCAUGAAGAACAUAUCCCACAGCUUCAUCUUUACAGAAACUCCAUCUUCUUUCUCUCCAAGGCCACUCAGGGCCCCCACCACACAGGAGACAGGAUGUGCUGUGGUCAGUCCAGAGCUGCACAGGAGCUCCUGUACAUCAGCUUGGCUCGCUGAUCUUUCCAGUAGCAUAAAUGUAGACCUUUUACCUCUACCCAGUCGUCAAUUUUGUCAGAAACCCAAGAAAUGUAACUACCUUUGAGACAUCUAUGCCUCUUUCAGUCUAGACUUAAGCUGCCCCAUGGGUUCAAAAGGUUUGUGGUGGGGAGCAGAGGGGAAGGACGUUGACAGACACAAGAGGUCACCUCUGCUUCCCUAAGGAGCUAGGCAAAACCCAUAGGGCGGUUUUAGUCUAUGUUCGAACUAGUCACCAAUCAUUCCUGACCCAUUCCCUUCUCACUAGAGAGAAAAAUAACAGCUCAUCGAUUCUUCACUCAAGGUACUGAAGGGGUUGGCCAGAGCAUCAGUACUUCCCCCUGCAUGUGUUAGGGUGAGCGUGUUUGCUCAGCUACUUUAGAACCAGGCUGACUCUGUGAUGAUGUCCAUAACAAAGAGCUGACGACUGCAGGCCGGCUCCUGUGCUACAGAAAGCCUCUUUCAAGUCAGUGCAAUUACUUGCAUGAGUAACGAGCAUGUGUACUAAUAAAGGUUGCGUGGCUAGCAUUAAUACCAAAUCCAAGAGCUCAAAGUCAUGACUUCUAUCUAGUGUUACAGAACCUCAGCGUUGUAGGUUUUGCACAGCUCCCCCCAGGUAACCCCCAUUAAAGACAGAAAUAAUAGAAUUAGCUCUACUAACAACAAAAAAUUGCUCCAGUGACUGAUUUUUCCCCACCCACCCCAAGACUGAAUCACUGUGUGGAACGUGCCACGUAGCUUUGCUGGAGUAGCUGGAGAGACAGGCACUGGAACUAGAGAAAGCCCAGCAGCAUGCAAGAGAACUUAAGUCAUAAAUAUGUAUGAGUUCAUGUAAAAAAUAAACCUGAUAUUAAUAUAACCAAAAUCUGAGAUGGAGAAGAACUGCUGCUGAGUCAUGCAGAACACUUUGCCAAAUGCCUCAGCUAAGAAAUUAUUCUGUAUAAAGUUGAAAGCCUGCCACAAAACAAACACUUUCAAAUUCCACCCUAAAAAGCUGUGGUGAUACCAUGGCCAUUCUGAUCCCGUUACUUCAGAGACGUUAGCUCUUGCUGGCAAGUUUCCUAGGCACUUUCCAGUAAAUGUCAAAGAAAAUGGGUAAAUAGGAACAAGAAAGGGGAUUGAUGGAAUUCCACUGCAGAGUAAAAUUCAAAUACUUUAAAGAACACAUUCUUUGGGGUUACUUAUCUGCUCACUUUGGUAUGUGCUAAUAUAUAUAUGUAGCUUCUCUGUCUUUGGGUCUUAGACACAUCUCCAUCAGUCUGGGCACAUCUGAGGCUAUUUCAAAGAUUUUUCAGCAAAAUACUUGAAAUGCAAAUGAAAUAAGCAGGGGGAGCCCUUAGUUAUGCAGGUUGUAGGGGAUGCCAAUAGUACUGAUCAUUUAAAUUAAUGUUAUUAGGACUCUCCUAGCUACACCAGAAGCAUAAGAUGGAUUUUUUCAAUGUCAUGUAUGAAGAUUUAGCAAUAAUAGGGUUAUGGGCAUUCUUUUGAUCACCUUUCUGCAUAAUUGCAAAAAAGCUGAAGGUCUGUGGGAUUUUUCUUUUUUUCAAACACAAAUCCAACCAAAUGUAAUAACAAGCUUUUUUUUUUUUUUUUAAUAUACGAAUGUCCAUACAGCACUGAUUCAAACACUGUCCUCUCUGAAAAUUAAUGUGCUAUUUGUUCAUGGAUUUGUAUAUAAUCAGAUGCAAUAAAUGUUGGCUUUGUUGGAAUCACUGUAUACAUGCUUUGCAUCAGCAAUUCAGUUAAAUAUUUUUAAAUGGUCAGAAUAGAGGCUGCUAAAUAAAGAGGGCAAAUUUUAACUAUAAAAGGAGGUUGACAGGCUUUCUUAAAAUAGUAAACAAAUACUCCUGUAGCUUUACAGUAAUUAUGCAAUGCUUAAUGGCAUCUGUUAUUAUAAACUUAACUUCUCAAAGUCUUCCAGAUUUGUAUUUUAGCAUUAGAAGUUUACUGAAUCUCAGAUCUAAAAUGCUGGUUUUAAGCUGUACAGUAUUACACUGCUAAAUGCCCGGCUGGCCAGCCCUUAAUUUUCUUGCAGUACUAGCCAAACCUGUCUACGUAGCAAUUGUAGUAAUGAUUUAGACAUGAGGAAGAAUCUUGGGUAUAAGCAAAGGAGGAUUAAAAAU